rnacentral:lncRNA from 1 species
GCUCUCCUGCUCCGCCAUGGCGCCAGCGCGGGGGCUCAGGAUUAUUGCGGAUGUCUUGAGCAUGGGACCAUUCUUUUUGCAUCCACCAAAUAACUAUUGUACUACUUUGCAUAUAUAAAUAUGAAAUCCAUACUGGUUCAGUGGAAUGAAGUGAGUUGACAUCUUCUAUUACAAAAUCUACGAGGAAAUCUAGAGGCCUCCAAGGACCUGGCUGGGCUUCAACUCUGGCUGAGUUUGAGAUGAGUAAACCAGACUGAAGGACCUUGCCCAAGGCCUGCUUCAGCUGCCAGCCACCCACACUUGCUAAGAGAAAGGAAAGGAGCUUUGUCACCUCCUGAGGGACUGCCUCUGCCAUCAGAAAACCACCCCAAUCCCUGGCACCAGCAGAGCUGGGUUGCAUCUGACUACCGUUAGCAGCUGUCCUUCAGAAGGAGGAGAUCCACCUGUCUCGAUAUCAGUGUCCUCAUUUGUGGAAUAAAAGCUCUGGAAUAAGGUAGGACUGUCCUAUGGUUGGGUCAUUUGUGGAGGUGUCGGUCAGUGGCUAAGUAGGUUAUUGCAUAGGGUAUGGUUGUAUUCCUAAUGUUUGUAUUGGCAUGUUUUAACAUAAGCAGAACUGAACUUCAAGAAGGAAAGAAAGAAAUCUCAAACUGUAUGCACUUUGGAGCAUCCAGGGACCACACCCCAAAACCUUUUGGUAAAUUAUAUAUGUGUGUUCCCUGAGCUCUGUAGGUGUUAAAAAUUAGGGCAAAAUCCCAGGUACCAGGAAAAGAAACAUCACGGCUUGCAGAUGAUGAGAGAGUUGCAGAAAUUGUACAGUGGUUAGGAGCUAUGGUGGGAUACAAUGUGGUUUCCAAAUGGCCAAAGUAAGAGAUCCUCAUUUUAAUCAACAUCUUAUAUAGGAACCCAACAUAUAAAACACAUAUACAACAUAUGCAAAGGGUAUUUUAUUAAUUUCUUGUAUAAGUCCAAAUUAGUAUAAAAUUAGGCAUUGAUGCUCUCAUGAUGAACCCAAAUCUGCUCAAUGGGGCUCACUAUUAGCCUCAGGAUUCCAGUUUACUUUUGUAUGUUGUUUUCAUUGUACUGUGUCAAGCAAAUUCUUGUUUGUAUAACUAAGCAGUAAUUUGUUACCCAUACAACUUUACAUUCAGCAUUUCUAGGCCAAUGUGCAGUUACAACAUUAUUAAUCAAUGACACACUUGAGCAAAGUUCAGGUAUAUGCACAGCCGGCAGGAGAGACUGAAUACUCUGGUCUGCAUUCAGUCAAGGUAACCUAGAGCAGAUUAGCUCAUUAUGAAUGUUCUUUGUGAUAAAAUUUGAAUAGAAACACAUUUGGAGAUGCAUGUUUUUGUUACAGUUUAAAAUAUACAAAAAAUAAAACAAAUAAAAGUUUAUAUCCCCAAUCAUGAGACACACAGACACCAUGAGCCUCCUGAUAUGGUCUCCUGAAAAAGACACAUAUCAUUUACCUGCUAAAAAUACGUAAAUGGAAUCUAAUCAUGAAGAAGCAUCAAACAAACUCACAUUAAGGGGCAUCCUACAAAACAAUUGACCUGUAUUCUUCAAAAAUAUCAAUGAUGUGAAAGACAAAGAGGCUGAGGCACAUCACUAUUAAAGGCAAUGGGUGAUUCUGGACUGGAUCUCCAACCAGAAAAAUGUAAAGGACAUUGUUGGGAUAAUUGGUGAAAUUCAAAUAUAGACGCGAUGUUAGAUAGUAGGAUAGUAUCAAUGCUAGUUUUUCUGAACUUGAUCAUUUUACUGGGAUUCUGCAAGAUAAUGUCCUUGUUUCUAGCAGGUAUCUGCUAAAGUAUUUAGGAGUAAAAUGAUGUCUCGAACUGUUUGGCAAGAAUAAUAAAAAUAAUAAGAUGAGGAGGUGGAAGGAGGGCGUGCAUAUAUAUUGGUAGACAUAUAAAUGAUUAAAGCAAAUGAUGCAAAAUACUAA